UGCACACACACCUCAUUCACACGUGUCACACACACUGACGAUCACACACAACAAGCGUUUCUCAUUAGGAUCCAUAUGGAGUUUAGAGAUCUACUGGAGGAGUUCAACAGAUUACAGGAUCAAGUUGAAGAGAUGAGGAGAGAAAUUCUGAUUAGGAACAGCAAAUCCACCUCGGACGACCAGCUACACCAGAUGGAACAACAGCAGCGAGAGCACUUGGCAAUCCGUUGCUCUAGUUUGAUUGAGAAGGGUGAAGCAUAUGAAAAAACCCAGGAGGGCAUCCUGAGGCGCAUCUGCGGCCCAGACGAGUCCCUGCCGGAGACGAAGGGCUUCCCCAACCUUGAUUACAUCAAGCCUUCUCCACCUGUGGAGAAACCCAACCGAGGGUGUAGAGUUAGAAGGAACGUUGGUACUCCAAAAAUGGCCUCGAGGUUCGAAAGGUUCCCCUCGAGGCAUAAAGGUCGAAGCGGAUUUGAAAUGGAGAUGACAGCCAUGCAGGCUCACGUACAGGAAGAGGCAGAGAUAGCGGCCUACAACGCCAGAGAGAUUAGCCGUACUGUCCGCUGUACCCUGAGCUCCCCCAGAGGUAUCUGUUCACCUGUGGACACGUCCACGCCUACGGAGCUCCGCUUUCUGCCGCUUUCUGCCAUCAGGACGCCAGCGCCAUCCACGCCUGCAUCUCCGGUUAUUAAAAGCAGACCCAAUCGUAGCCGUAUUCCCAGGCUGCAGGUUUUGACGGAGAUAACCAAAGCGAGGAGGAAUGGGGACAACAGUGCACCAGUGAACUGGAACGAGAUCGCCAGUCGUAUGAGUGCACUGACCAAGAAAUGGGAUGUACCUCUUCGAUCUGCGGAUAGCAUGCUAAAGGACCGUGCUACACAGAGAGAGAUGGCUGCCCGAAAACCAGCUGCAGGUCCACCGAAACGGAGCCAGGAUGAUCGGCUUGAUCCAGCUGAGAAGCCGACUCCUUUGGAUGGGUCUUUGCAGAAAAAACAAGGUAGGGUAAAACAUGUAGCCAAUGUCUCUACCCAUAAAGUCAAUGCAGGUAGAGACGGCGACGAGGCCGAGGACGCAGCGGGCUCAAACGGAAGGAGAGAGACAUCUAUGGACCUGGACCUGGUCAGUGAGAAGCCACUAGACAGACCUGAGGUGGCACUUAACCAGGUGUUUCAGCUGCUGGAGCUCGAGGACUGGGAAAGAAAGAUCGAGGGGCUGAAAGUGGUGCGCGCUCUGGCUGAGCAUCACUCCAACGUCAUACUGCCCAGACUACAUGAGGUCUGCCUGUGUGUCAUACAGGAGGUAAAGAACCUGCGCUCCAUGGUGUCACGCGCGGCUAUGACCACUCUGGCCCACCUGUACGCCCACCUGCAGAGGGCAAUGGACCCAGAAUUGGAUGGCACGGCUCUCGUCCUGUUACACAAAGCUGGAGAGUCGAGUCAAUUUGUCAAAGAGGAUGCAGACAUGGCUCUCAACGCCAUGGUCAUCGGCUGCUCGCCUGCUCGCGUCCUCAACGCUCUGCUGGCCGGAGGACUCAACCACCGAAACGCAGCAGUGAGAAGAUGCAUGGCGCUCCACCUGGAUAAGUUUGCUGAGGUUGUGGGGGCUUCACGUCUGCUAAAUGGAAAACAGGCCCUAACUGGACGACUUCUGUCCACUGUAAGCCAGCUGGCUCAGGAUGCAGCACAGGAAGUGAGGUUCCAUGCCCAACAUGCCAUCAGAUUUCUGGCAACCCACAGCAACUUUAUGAAGAUGGUGGAAAAGUUUGUGCCAACAAAGGACUGGGCAUCUCUUAAAAACAUCAUAGCCAAGGCCAGGUAAAAUAAAGUGAAGAAAUAAAAGUCAGCAUGAGUCAACAAGACGCCUCGGCCAAUGAGACAGACUACAGACUACAUAACAACAUGAGCUCCAAACUUUACAUCAUUUCUAUCACCAAGAAAGCCCAGCAGCGUCUCUACUUUUUGAGAAGACUCAGGAAAGCUCAUCUGCCACCCCCCAUUCUCACCACGUUCUACAGAGGAACAAUCGAGAGCAUCCUGAGCGGCUGCAUCACUGUCUGGUUCGGAAAUUGUACUGCGUCGGACCGCAGGACUCUCCAGCGAGUAGUGAGGACAGCUGAAAAGAUCAUCGGGGUCGCUCUUCCAUCUCUCAUGGACAUUUUUAACACCCGCUGCAUCCGCAAAGCUCUCAGCAUUGUGGACGAUCCAACCCAUCCAUCACAUGGACUUUUUACUCUGCUCCCGUCUGGGAGACGAUACCGCAGCAUCCGGACUAACACAACCAGACUGUGUAACAGUUUUAUCCCACAAGCAAUCAGACUCCUCAAUUCAGUACUGUAACAAUUUCCUCCGGAAAUUUUCUGCUGCCACACACUGAACUGUAUUGACUAUGUUACUUGCAUUUUUUGCACACCUCCUGGAACUGCACAAGUAAUUUCUGCACCUUACUUGUAUUUUUGCACCUUAUUUACUUUUUAGGCACCUUAUCGGCAUUGCCAAUUUUACGCUGCUAAUGUACAACAUGUCACUACCUCAUGAACCAUUGUACCAUCUAUUCACCAUCAUGUACUAACACUUGUCUUUAGUCCUGUCUUCUAAUUACUUGUUUAGAUUAGGGAUAAUUAGGAAUAUCUUUUGUA